UACGUAGGGUGCAAGCGUUGUCCGGAAUUAUUGGGCGUAAAGAGCUCGUAGGCGGUCUGUCGCGUCUGCUGUGAAAACUCGGGGCUUAACCCCGGGCCUGCAGUGGGUACGGGCAGACUAGAGUGCGGUAGGGGAGACUGGAAUUCCUGGUGUAGCGGUGAAAUGCGCAGAUAUCAGGAGGAACACCGGUGGCGAAGGCGGCUUCCUGGACCGACACUGACGCUGAGGCGCGAAAGCUAGGGGAGCAAACGGG
rnacentral:rRNA from 1 species